UUGAGGGGUCCCGUCCCUAGUACGAGAGGACCGGGAUGGACGGACCUCUGGUGUUCCGGUUGUCGCACCAGCGGCAAUGCCGGGCAGCCAUGUCCGGACGGGAUAAACGCUGAAAGCAUCUAAGCGUGAAGCCCACCCCAAGAUUAGGUCUCCCCGGGCCUUAAAUGGCCCCUGAAGGUCCCUGGUAGACUACCAGGUCGAUAGGCUGGAGGUGUAAGCGUGGUAACACGCUCAGCCGGCCAGUACUAAUAGACCGUGAGGCUUGACCCA
rnacentral:rRNA from 1 species